UACGUAGGGUGCGAGCGUUAAUCGGAAUUACUGGGCGUAAAGCGUGCGCAGGCGGUUAUUUAAGUCAGGGGUGAAAGCCCUGGGCUUAACCUAGGAAUUGCGCUUGAGACUGGAUAGCUUGGAGUGCGGCAGAGGGAGGUGGAAUUCCCGGUGUAGCAGUGAAAUGCGUAGAGAUCGGGAGGAACACCAGUGGCGAAGGCGGCCUUCUGGACCAAUACUGACGCUCAUGCACGAAAGCGUGGGGAGCAAACAGG
rnacentral:rRNA from 1 species